CAUUGUUUCUCAUAUAGUAGUAUUAUGUUUUUAAAUUCUGAGAUUAAAUAUUUCUGUUAACAUAUUGCAUUUAAAAGAAUGGAUACAGAGGAAGGAACAUAGUCCAAAGGAUGUGACAUAGCUAAUUGGCCAAGUGAAGUUUCACAUUUUAUGUGAGAUUGCCUAUGUAAAAUCAAGAAGACUAGAAGAAGUGGAGACAAUGGUCUCAAGAAAGAAAUAUGGCAGGCUGUUACACUUUCUAUCAAUGAUAGAUUCCAGAUGAAAUUUGAAUGGGAGCAAGUAAGAAACCAUUACAGAAUCUAGAAAGCAAGAAUGAAGGUUUUAUGUGAUCUCCAAAAAACUUCUGGGAUGGGUUGGAACAAAGCGGAAUCAAGAUUCCAUGUUCCAUAACAUUUUUGGGGAGAAUUCAAGAGCAAGAAACAAAGAUACUGGAAAGAGCACAGAGUUCUAACGGUUCUUUUGGCAACAACUGCGUGGUUAAGAAACGAAGUUGCUAAUGGGAAUGAUUCAAGUCACCCAUGUAAUGCUGCCUAUGAUGGUGUCUUUCUAAUCCAGUCUGUCUUGAGGAAUUGUAUGAUUUUGACGUUGAGUAAGAUAAAACUAUUUUUCAAGAUCAAACAAGCGUCCAUUCAACUCCAGUUGUGAUUACAUCCCGAACUCGUGGUAGGCCUCGUUCUGAUGCCUCAACUUCUGGGGAGAAGAAAAAGAAGAGCGGAGUUGAAAAAAUAGCGAGUCCUCUCAAGUUGAUUGCAUCUGUUAUAAGUGGGUUGAUCAAGGCUGAUCCACUAACUGAUCUAUGUAAAAGACUUAAUUCUGCAAUAGAUGUAAUUCUUUAUAAGUUCUUUAUUUUUGACCAAUUAUUGCAUUCGCAAGUGGAAAAUGAACCAUUCUAU